AACGAACGCUGGCGGCAGGCCUAACACAUGCAAGUCGAACGCCGUAGCAAUACGGAGUGGCAGACGGGUGAGUAACGCGUGGGAACCUUCCCUAUGGUUCGGAAUAGCUCAGGGAAACCUGGGGUAAUACCGGAUAAGCCCCUCGGGGGAAAGAUUUAUCGCCAUUGGAUGGGCCCGCGUAGGAUUAGCUAGUGGGUGAGGUAACGGCUCACCAAGGCGACGAUCCUUAGCUGGUCUGAGAGGAUGAUCAGCCACACUGGGACUGAGACACGGCCCAGACUCCUACGGGAGGCAGCAGUGGGGAAUAUUGGACAAUGGGCGAAAGCCUGAUCCAGCCAUGCCGCGUGAGUGACGAAGGCCUUAGGGUUGUAAAGCUCUUUUGGCGGGGAAGAUAAUGACGGUACCCGCAGAAUCAGCUCCGGCUAACUUCGUGCCAGCCGCCGCGGUAA
rnacentral:rRNA from 1 species